rnacentral:lncRNA from 1 species
AAGGUGAAAAAAAGUCAUUGUUAAGUACAAAUGAAUAAGAUAAGUAGUCAUGCAGAAGAGGCAAUGAGAAGAUGCUUAGAGUUGAUUUGUACUGCAGUGAAUCAGUGGUGUCCUAGUCAUAAAUUUCAGAAAGCUCUCUGGCAAUGCCUAAUAAAUUAUAUCUACCCUACGCCUAAUAAUCUAUGUCAUCCAGCCAAAUACAUCACACAUAUAAAUGAGUUCGGAUCUUAUUACCUUUCCAAAUGAGAGAACAAGCUAAUAAAGAGUCACAAUUCAGAAAAGUAACUUCUCCUUCUUAACCUGAAACUGAAAAAUCAAACAUGUGGUACAUAUCAUUUACCUUUAAGAAAUCAAGCAUGAGUGAAUUAUACAUGCAUUGAAAAUAAUUGAAAAUAAAUCUUUUUUUUCAAUUAUAUAUGCAAUAACAGGUGACUUAAGUGAGAUUAUAAUAUAUAAAAUGAUUCCAAAACUGAGGCACCUGACAUGAAACAACUCUCAGCAAAACUUUUUUUUCUUCUUUUCCAAUCGUGGUUGGUGGAAACAUAUACUUUAGUAAAGUUCUAUGACCAGUAGUAAAUGUCAAACUUUGCUAUAUGAUGACAGCUCCGAUAUCUUUUCUCCAGACUAAACUUAUAGAUUAUAAAAACGGGGUUAUAUAUGCAUAAGUUUUAGGUAUAUCUUACAAUAGCUACUCAAUAAAUCCUGCUGAUAAUAUUUUGUAAUUGAUUAGCAGUAUAAAAGUUUUUACUGUAGCAGCACAGUGUACAAGAUGCAUAGCAGUUAUAUAUUUACUUCUUCUUUUUUAUUGAAAGAAACUAUGGGUAUAAUCAUCCAACACUAGUAAUAUCUCANCCUAUGUACAACCAAGCAUAAAUGCAAAAAAAUAAAAAGUUUAUAUAUGCUACAAUAAUUUAACUAGCUAUUUGUAACUAUAUCUAUAUGUCAAUUCCAUAUUGGUAUACAAACUUAAUAAACCUCUUAGCUUAUUCUUGAUUUAAAAUCACAUACACUAAAAAAAGUCACCGAAUAAGCCUCUUAGCUUUCCCUCUUUCCUAAUCCCAACCAUUGCACUAUUUAACAUUGUUUAUCUGUUUGUAAUGAUUUUACAGUAAUUCAUGACUGAUGACAAUCUUUAUUAAAAUUCCAGUACUCUACCAACCUUCUUCCUUUUGAGCCCUUUGGCCUUUGUUUGAAGUUGCCUUUUAGAUCAGCUGUCUUUAAGUGAAGAAUGAUUGGCCAUAGGCAAAAAUUACAUACCAUUGACUUAUAUUUACUUAUACUUUAACAUUGUAAGUAUGUCAUACUGAAUAUACGAUGGACAAAAUAUGUUCAGCACUAAAUAUAUCUGAGAUGAACCACAAGGANCUUCUANAAAACUAAGAGGGGACAGAAAAAGUGCAGAAACCAGAAACCUGCGGCAGCAAAACCAGAAAUUCUAUUCCACUAAUUGGAGUAUUAUGUUGCCACAUGGACUCACUGAAAGGCACAAUGGAUUAUUGCUUGCUUCGGUUAAGUAAAUAGUAGUCAGCCACAUCUUGCUGCUUGCCGCGAGGUGAUGGUUAAUUUUCUUUUAUUUUCUAACUAAACUCAGUGUCUUCUGAUCAUGUUGGAAAGGUAUAAGUCUCAUGAGGAUUGGUCAAUAUAGUAAUUAAUAUAGCUAAGAUGGAUGAUUCAUUUUCUCUCUUUUUUCAAAAAGCAAAAUAAUCAGGUUUCUUUCUGAAACUUCACUAACACGUAUCUUUUUAUCUUUCUCCACGCCUACAUAUAUCUUAAUAACGUAAAAAAUUCUCUUUCCUUCUCAAUCUCUUCGUAUCCUUCCUAUAUUUUUUUUAAACUGUCAUUAACCAUUACAUAUAAGGAGGAAUUGCAAAACCUUAUCAAAAUUCCCUUUCUGUGAAAAUAAUGGUUUCAAGUUUUGAAAAAAUAUGAAGUAAAAAGUGCGAAACAGGAAUUCCAUGGUGGCUAAAACAGGAAUAAUUUCUCUACCUUGAAUUCGAUGGUGGCUUAUACUAGGCAUAAUUUCUCGCUUUAAAACAGGAAUCUUCUUUUUCUUUAAGAAAAUGACUUCAUGUUCCCUUUAUCUUUUUCUCUUUUCCUCGAAAAAAGAGUUACACACAAGACACAGGCUCAAUUAGUGAAUCCAAGAUGAAACACACUAAACAACAGAAGAGAUUGAAAACUCACAAGUUCUACAGCAACAGAGACAACAAAUUCUCCAAAAUGACCAGCAACAAGCACCAAAACCGCAAGAUCCUCAACCGGAGUCAGAGUCACGUCCACAACCAACUAUAGAACAACAGGAACAAUCACUACAACAAGCCAACUAUAACAAGAGGAAGACCAUGGAACAGGGGCUUUCACCUGAGACUGACAGAACAGUAACAAAAGGAAGACCACGCAACCACCGCUGCAGCUCCGUCUACCAAUGGUUCCGCGACUACGAUUCUGAAGGAUAGUCAGUACGAGGAAGAGACGGUGAGUUUAGGGUUCAGGAAGAAAGCGAGAAAGAAAUAAGGGUGUAGUGUGCGAGGAAGAAAGCGAGAAAGGAAUGAAAGGGAUUUUAGGGUUCAAGUGUGAUUUUGAGAAGGAGAUCAGUUUCGGGAUCCAGAAAAAUGAGACAGAAACGUAAAAAAUUAGACAUUCUUUGAAGAAUCAUUAAAACUCCUUUGAAAUAGAGGGGGUUAUAAACCUCCUUUAAAAAUCAUUAAAACUCCCGUUAUCAUUAACACCUUUAUGAUUUAAAUUAAACAUUAUGAAAUAUAUUAAUUUGAGGGGGUUUUUCAUAACCUCCUCUAAAUAACCCCCUCUAAAUAAGUUUUUUUUUUUUGUAAUGACUUUAUUGGUCUUUUAAGUUGCCACGUGUAUAAAAUAUUAACAACUCAUUCACUAAUAGCUGACCCGGGCACUGUGCCGUUAAAAUUUUUAACACCGUAAGCAAAAAGGACUAACGUGCGCUGUUUUUGCAAAAAGUAAGAUUUUAGUGAACUUUUUAAAAAAGGGAAGACGACUUUGAAUAGACCCUACAAAAAGAGGAACCAAAAUGGGAGUUGCUCCCUCCAGCUCCCCAUUUCUACCCUCCACCUCCCCAAUAUUUUGCUUUUUUUUUAUUUCAACAAUAUCCUUUUGUCUUGACUUUUUUAACCUUUUCAAGUUUUUUUACUUUCUUUUUUCUUUUAAUGGUAUUUUACUCUCAGAACCUCACAGUCCCACCUCUCCAAAUUUGAGAUCCGCCCCUUCUUCUCCCAACUCUGUGACUCUUUACUUCCACUUCCGUGACUCUUCUUCUCAUCCAAACUCUCCAAACUUUACUUUGCUCUCCGGUGCGGUGUGGUGGUGAGUUGCGGUGGUACGGUGCGGUGUUGUGCCCUGUUCUUGCGUGUGGUGGUGUUUCGUUGGCAUUGGUGGUGCGUGGUGCAGAUCGUUCACCCUAUCGUUACCAUCUCUCUCUGUUUGAUCUUCUACCUUUCAAGUUUUAAAAAUUUAAAGAUGGCAGAGACAUUUAUUUUUACCUCUGAGUUGGUGAACGAGGGACACCCAGACAAGCUCUACGACCAAAUCUCCGAUGCUGUUCUUGACGCCUGCCUUGAGCAAGAUCCAGAGAGCAAGGUUGCUUGUGAGACAUGCACCAAAACCAACUUGGUCAUGGUCUUCGGAGAAAUCACCACCAAGGCCAACGUUGAGUACGAGAAUUUAAAAAUACCUAGUUAACUGAGUUUUCAUCGUCUUCUUCCUAACCCGGUUAACUUGUUACAUUUACAAAUAAACCAACCAUUUUCGGAACUUUUACCCUUAUGCUAUAAUUUCAUUAUAAAUGAAGCAACUAUAUUUUAAAUAAAUAAAUACACGAUUUGAGUUCAUUUUGCAGAAUAUAAAAAUACCCUUUUGAAGCAAUAUUGUUGAAGAUUAAAAAUUAAAUCGUAACUGGGUAAAGUGGAAGAUGAAUGAUUGAAGGUGUUAGGGAUUAAAAAAGUGUCGCUAAGAACGAGGAGCAGAGAAAGAGCUUUCAAACCUCAAUUCCCAAAAAUCUGAAUCGUAGUGUUUGACAUUUUGCUCCCAAAAUUCAGUGUUUUAAAUUCAGAUUUUCCUUCUUUUUUCUGCCAUUAACAAAUUUGUCAAACUAACCACUGAAGAACCUCAGCACAGCGACAUCCGUAAACGGAGGUUGACAUCCUUCGACGGAUGUUCAUAUCCGUUUAAGGGAGGUUUCGACUU